UAUGCAAUGAGUUUAAGCUCAAAACAUCCUGCAAAUAUACAUACACAAAAUGAAAGAAAGAAAGAAAAAAGAAAGAAAAAACAGAAAAAAAGGUCACAUAUUUUUUUAUGUUUCUUGUUUUUCCUUUUUUUUUUUUUUUUUCUUUUUCUUUCUCCUAAUUUGUGUAAUUUUUAUAAAAACAGGAAGGAAGGUCUGAGAUGCUGCAUUUAAAGAAUAGAAAAAAAAGUCAAUGAAUUUUAUUUAAUUUUUUUUUUUUUUUUUUAUUAUUCUUAUGAAUUAAAAAAAAAGAAAAAAAGUUAUAACAUUCGUUGUUACCUUUUAUUUCAUAUAUAUAUAUAUAUAUAUAUAUUCUUUAAUAAAAUUUUUGAGAGAAAAAGUAUUGAAUAAAUAUUAAUUAGUUACCAGAAAUAUCAAUCAUAUAUUUAAAAUUUCGUAAGAAAUUUUGUGUAUGGUUUUGAAAAAGCUAAUAAGCAAGUAUACAUUGGUGAGUUCGAUUUUUGAGGUUUUUCUUUAUUCCUACAUCUCAUAUAUCAAUAUUAUUUUUAUAUUAUUAUACCGAGGUGAUAAUAAGAAAAAUAACUUAAUUCAGACUACUCCUAAAUUCAUUGCUACAA
rnacentral:RNase_P_RNA from 1 species